rnacentral:rRNA from 1 species
AUACGGAAGGUCCGGGCGUUAUCCGGAUUUAUUGGGUUUAAAGGGAGCGCAGGCGGAGAUGCAAGCGUGACGUCAAAUUUCGGGGCCCAACCCCGUCUCGCGUCGCGAACUGCGUCCCUUGGUUGCGGGAAGGGGAGGCGGAACUCGUGGUGUAGCGGUGAAAUGCAUAGAAAUCACGAAGAACUCCGAUCGCGAAGGCAGCCUUCCGGCCCGUCAACGCCGCUCAUGCUCGAAGGGGCGGGUAUCAAACAGGAUUAGAUACCCUGGUAGUCCGCACAGUAAACGAUGGACACCCGCGGUUUGGCCUAUAUGGCUGAGCCGCCAAGCGAAAGCGUUAAGUGUCCCACCUGGGGAGUACGCCGGCAACGGUGAAACUCAAAUGAAUUGACGGGC